GAUGAACGCUGGCGGCGUGCCUAAUACAUGCAAGUCGAGCGAUCAGACGAUUAGCUUGAUCCUCUCAGGUUAGCGGCGGACGAGUGAUUAACACGUGGCUAACCUCUCUAUAAGACUGCGAUAACUUCGGGAAAACUGACCGAAUACCGGUUCAUAUAUUGAACCGCAUGGGUCAAUAGUGAUCGACGGUUUUUCGGUCACCGAUCGAUGAAUCCGCGCCGCAUUAGCUAGCUGGUAAGGUAACGGCUUACCAAGGCAACGAUGCGUAGCCGACCUGAGAGGGUGAUCGGCCACCCGGGAACUGGGCCAGGGUCCAGACUACUACGGGAGGGAGCAGUAGGGAAUCGUCCGCAAUGGUCGAGAGCCUGACGGAGCAACGCCGCGUGAGUGACGAAGGUCUUCGGAUCGGAAAACUCUGUUAUUAGUGAAGAACAAAUGUGUAAGUAGAUAUGCACGUCUUGACGGUACCUAAUCAGAAAGCCACGGCUAACUACGUG
rnacentral:rRNA from 1 species